rnacentral:rRNA from 1 species
AUUGAACGCUGGCGGCAUGCCUUACACAUGCAAGUCGAACGGUAACAGCACUUCGGUGGCUGACGAGUGGCGAACGGGUGAGUAAUACAUCGGAACGUGCCCGAGAGUGGGGGAUAACGCAGCGAAAGCUGUGCUAAUACCGCAUACGAUCUACGGAUGAAAGCAGGGGACCGCAAGGCCUUGCGCUCAUGGAGCGGCCGAUGGCAGAUUAGGUAGUUGGUGGGAUAAAAGCUUACCAAGCCGACGAUCUGUAGCUGGUCUGAGAGGACGACCAGCCACACUGGGACUGAGACACGGCCCAGACUCCUACGGGAGGCAGCAGUGGGGAAUUUUGGACAAUGGGCGAAAGCCUGAUCCAGCCAUGCCGCGUGCAGGAUGAAGGCCUUCGGGUUGUAAACUGCUUUUGUACGGAACGAAAAGCUCUCUCUAAUACAGGGGUGAAUGACGGUACCGUAAGAAUAAGCACCGGCUAACUACGUGCC